rnacentral:rRNA from 1 species
AAGCUCGUAGUUGAAUUUCGGGGUUAGUAGGUUGGUCAUGCCUCUGGUAUGUACUGGUCUCACUGAUUCCUCCUUCCUUAUGAACCGUAAUGCCAUUAAUUUGGUGUUGCGGGGAAUUUGGACUGUUACUUUGAAAAAUUAGAGUGUUUAAAGCAAGCUAACGCUUGAAUACAUUAGCAUGGAAUAAUGAAAUAGGACGUUCGAUCUUAUUUUGUUUGGUUUUCUUAGGAUUGACGUAAUGAUUAAUAGGGAUAGUUGGG